UACGGAGGGGGCUAGCGUUGUUCGGAAUUACUGGGCGUAAAGCGCGCGUAGGCGGCUUUGUAAGUUAGAAGGUGAAAGCCCGGAGCUCAACUCCGGAACUGCCUUUAAGACUGCAUCGCUAGAAUUGUGGAGAGGUGAGUGGAAUUCCCGGUGUAGCGGUGAAAUGCGCAGAUAUCGGGGAGGAACACCGGUGGCGAAGGCG
rnacentral:rRNA from 1 species